UACGUAGGGGGCUAGCGUUGUCCGGAUUUAUUGGGCGUAAAGAGCGUGUAGGCGGCCAGACAGGUCUGCUGUGAAAACUCGAGGCUCAACCUCGAGAUGUCGGCGGAAACCGUCUGGCUAGAGCACAGUAGAGGCAGGUGGAAUUCCCGGUGUAGCGGUGGAAUGCGUAGAGAUCGGGAAGAACAUCAGUGGCGAAGGCGGCCUGCUGGGCUGUUGCUGACGCUGAGGCGCGACAGCGUGGGGAGCAAACAGG
rnacentral:rRNA from 1 species